rnacentral:rRNA from 1 species
GAUGAACGCUGGCGGCGCGCCUAACACAUGCAAGUCGAACGAUUAAAGCACCUUCGGGUGUGUAUAAAGUGGCGAACGGCUGAGUAACACGUGGGCAACCUGCCCCUCUCAUUGGGAUAGCCACGGGAAACCGUGGAUAAUACCGAAUACUUCGGGACUUCCGCAUGGAAGACUCGAGAAAGCUCCGGCGGAGAGGGAUGGGCCCGCGGCCUGUUAGCUUGUUGGUGGGGUAAUGGCCUACCAAGGCAAUGAUGGGUAGCUGGGUUGAGAGACCGACCAGCCAGAUUGGGACUGAGACACGGCCCAGACUCCUACGGGAGGCAGCAGUGGGGAAUCUUGCACAAUGGGCGAAAGCCUGAUGCAGCGACGCCGCGUGCGGGAUGAAGGCCUUCAGGUUGUAAACCGCUUUCAGCAGGGACGAGGCGAAAGUGACGGUACCUGCAGAAGAAGCCCCGGCUAACUACGUG